GACGAACGCUGGCGGCGUGCCUAAUACAUGCAAGUCGAACGCUGCUUAAGAAGAAACUUCGGUUUUUUCUUAAGCGGAGUGGCGGACGGGUGAGUAACACGUGGGGAACCUAUCCACCAGCGGGGGAUAACACUUGGAAACAGGUGCUAAUACCGCAUACGGCUUUUUUUCACCUGAAAGAAAGCUCAAAGGCGCUUUACAGCGUCACUGAUGGCUGGCCCCGCGGUGCAUUAGCCAGUUGGUGAGGUAACGGCUCACCAAAGCAACGAUGCAUAGCCGACCUGAGAGGGUGAUCGGCCACACUGGGACUGAGACACGGCCCAGACUCCUACGGGAGGCAGCAGUAGGGAAUCUUCGGCAAUGGACGCAAGUCUGACCGAGCAACGCCGCGUGAGUGAAGAAGGUUUUCGGAUCGUAAAGCUCUGUUGUCAGCAAAGAACAGGAGAAAGAGGCAAUGCUUUUUCUAUGACGGUAGCUGACCAGAAAGCCACGGCCAACUACGUGCCAGCAGCCGCGGUAAUACGUAGGUGGCAAGCGUUGUCCGGAUUUAUUGGGCGUAAAGCGAGCGCAGGCGGUGAUUUAAGUCUGAUGUGAAAGCCCCCAGCUCAACUGGGGAGGGUCAUUGGAAACUGGAUCACUUGAGUGCAGAAGAGGAGAGUGGAAUUCCAUGUGUAGCGGUGAAAUGCGUAGAUAUAUGGAGGAACUCCAGUGGCGAAGGCGGCUCUCUGGUCUGUAACUGACGCUGAGGCUCGAAAGCGUGGGUAGCAAACAGGAUUAGAUACCCUGGUAGUCCACGCCGUAAACGAUGAGUGCUAAGUGUUGGAGGGUUUCCGCCCUUCAGUGCUGCAGUUAACGCAUUAAGCACUCCGCCUGGGGAGUACGACCGCAAGGUUGAAACUCAAAGGAAUUGACGGGGGCCCGCACAAG
rnacentral:rRNA from 1 species